UGGGGCACGAGAAACCAAAUAAUUGCAAUCCAACGCACAGCGAAAGGUGCUUGCCCUUUCAUGUGAGUGGCGAACGGGUGAGUAACACGUGGACAACCUGCCUCAAGGCUGGGGAUAACAUUUGGAAACAGAUGCUAAUACCGAAUAAAACUUAGUGUCGCAUGACACAAAGUUAAAAGGCGCUUCGGCGUCACCUAGAGAUGGAUCCGCGGUGCAUUAGUUAGUUGGUGGGGUAAAGGCCUACCAAGACAAUGAUGCAUAGCCGAGUUGAGAGACUGAUCGGCCACAUUGGGACUGAGACACGGCCCAAACUCCUACGGGAGGCUGCAGUAGGGAAUCUUCCACAAUGGGCGAAAGCCUGAUGGAGCAACGCCGCGUGUGUGAUGAAGGCUUUCGGGUCGUAAAGCACUGUUGUAUGGGAAGAACAGCUAGAAUAGGAAAUGAUUUUAGUUUGACGGUACCAUACCAGAAAGGGACGGCUAAAUACGUGCCAGCAGCCGCGGUAAUACGUAUGUCCCGAGCGUUAUCCGGAUUUAUUGGGCGUAAAGCGAGCGCAGACGGUUUAUUAAGUCUGAUGUGAAAGCCCGGAGCUCAACUCCGGAAUGGCAUUGGAAACUGGUUAACUUGAGUGCAGUAGAGGUAAGUGGAACUCCAUGUGUAGCGGUGGAAUGCGUAGAUAUAUGGAAGAACACCAGUGGCGAAGGCGGCUUACUGGACUGCAACUGACGUUGAGGCUCGAAAGUGUGGGUAGCAAACAGGAUUAGAUACCCUGGUAGUCCACACCGUAAACGAUGAACACUAGGUGUUAGGAGGUUUCCGCCUCUUAGUGCCGAAGCUAACGCAUUAAGUGUUCCGCCUGGGGAGUACGACCGCAAGGUUGAAACUCAAAGGAAUUGACGGGGACCCGCACAAGCGGUGGAGCAUGUGGUUUAAUUCGAAGCAACGCGAAGAACCUUACCAGGUCUUGACAUCCUUUGAAGCUUUUAGAGAUAGAAGUGUUCUCUUCGGAGACAAAGUGACAGGUGGUGCAUGGUCGUCGUCAGCUCGUGUCGUGAGAUGUUGGGUUAAGUCCCGCAACGAGCGCAACCCUUAUUGUUAGUUGCCAGCAUUCAGAUGGGCACUCUAGCGAGACUGCCGGUGACAAACCGGAGGAAGGCGGGGACGACGUCAGAUCUC
rnacentral:rRNA from 1 species